UACGUAGGGUGCAAGCGUUGUCCGGAAUUAUUGGGCGUAAAGAGCUCGUAGGCGGUUUGUCGCGUCGAAUGUGAAAACCCGGGGCUCAACUCCGGGCCUGCAUUCGAUACGGGCAGACUAGAGUUCGGUAGGGGAGACUGGAAUUCCUGGUGUAGCGGUGAAAUGCGCAGAUAUCAGGAGGAAUACCGGUGGCGAAGGCGGCCUUCUGGACGAUGACUGACGCUGAGACGCGAAAGCGUGGGGAGCAAACAGG
rnacentral:rRNA from 1 species